UAGCUCAAUUGGUAGAGUGCUUGCCUGAUAUGCACAAGAUCCUGGGUUCAAUCCCCAG
rnacentral:tRNA from 1 species